GAAAGAGCCCGGGAAGAAGGAGGUGGCAGGCAGAGGAACGUAACGAAGAGCAAGGUGUGGGUGCCGUGAGCUCCCAGAAGGAGCUGCCUGGGGACCUGUGGCUUCAGCUCCCUCACGCUGGUCCUGGAGGGUUCCUAAGAGAUAGUCACCUUGAGGCCGGCCACUCCCCUCUACUUAAUCUAAAGAGGAAGCAGGAGUGUUUCCUCGAAUCGACUGAGCUGGAGCCCCUGGACAUCUCCCCACACUUGCCCUUGGCCCAACAGCUUUUCAUCUUUCAAGUGCCACUGUGGUUCCCUGAAGCCUUUCUUGAUGCCUCAAGUCUAGACAGUCCUCCCCUGCAAGCUGCCAAGCUUCCUCUACAGAUCCCUGCUCAGAGUCUCCCACAGUCUACUGAGAUUGCCUCCUACGUGAAGUCAGGCCGUGGCUAUCAAGCUCACCAUUCAUCCGUUUUUCACACAAUGCUUGAAACUAGAAGGUGCUUAUAAAUACUUAGUAUCAAUGAAUGAAUCUGCAAAUAGCGAUAUAACUGACAAAAGGAUUUUUAUGACAUGUACAAUCUCCCUGGUAGGUACUGGGCACCCAACAACAGUAGAAAUUUAAGAUCACUAUCCUCCCCCCCCCAAAAAAAAAUGCCCCUAGGGUCACAAGGUUUUAU